ACCGUGUCUGUUGAGACAUGUGAUGUGGUGUGUGACGUAUGUGGCCUACCCGGUCAUGUUUUUUAUUCUUUUACGUUUCAUCUAAUCCAACCAAUAACCAGUAA
rnacentral:misc_RNA from 1 species